rnacentral:rRNA from 1 species
AACGAACGCUGGCGGCAGGCCUAACACAUGCAAGUCGAGCGCGCCCUUCGAGGUGAGCGGCGGACGGGUUAGUAACGCGUGGGAAUAUGCCCAGAUCUGCGGAAUAGCCUCUGGAAACGGAGAGUAAUACCGCAUACGCCCUUCGGGGGAAAGAUUUAUCGGAUUUGGAUUAGCCCGCGUUGGAUUAGGUAGUUGGUGGGUAAUGGCCUACCAAGCCGACGAUCCAUAGCUGGUUUGAGAGGAUGAUCAGCAACACUGGGACUGAGACACGGCCCAGACUCCUACGGGAGGCAGCAGUGGGGAAUCUUAGACAAUGGGGGAAACCCUGAUCUAGCCAUGCCGCGUGAGUGACGAAGGCCCUAGGGUCGUAAAGCUCUUUCAGCUGUGAAGAUAAUGACGGUAGCAGCAGAAGAAACCCCGGCUAACUCCGUG